rnacentral:miRNA from 1 species
UCAGCUGUCAUGAUGCCUUUUU